rnacentral:rRNA from 1 species
GACACGGUCCAGACUCCUACGGGAGGCAGCAGUGGGGAAUUUUGCGCAAUGGGCGAAAGCCUGACGCAGCAACGCCGCGUGGAGGAUGAAGGCCUUCGGGUCGUAAACUCCUGUCAGUAGGGACGAAUGCUUCGAAAGAAGUUUGACUGUACCUGCUGAGGAAGCCACGGCUAACUCCGUGCCAGCAGCCGCGGUAAUACGGAGGUGGCAAGCGUUGUUCGGAAUUAUUGGGCGUAAAGGGCGCGUAGGCGGCUUUGCAAGUCAGAUGUGAAAGCCCCGGGCUUAACUCGGGAAUUGCAUCUGAAACUGCUUAGCUUGAGUCCUGGAGGGGGUAGUGGAAUUCCCAGUGUAGCGGUGAAAUGCGUAGAUAUUGGGAGGAACACCGGCGGCGAAGGCGGCUACCUGGACAGUGACUGACGCUGAGGCGCGAAAGCUAGGGGAGCGAACGGGAUUAGAUACCCCGGUAGUCCUAGCCGUAAACGAUGGGCACUUGGUGUUGGGGGUAUUGAGUCCCCCGGUGCCGGAGUUAACACGUUAAGUGCCCCGCCUGGGGAGUACGGUCGCAAGACUGGAACUCAAAGGAAUUGACGGGGGCCCGCACAAGCGGUGGAGCAUGUGGUUCAAUUCGACGCAACGCGAAGAACCUUACCGAGGCUCGAACGGUAACUGCAAUUCUUGGAAACAGGAAGUUCUCUUCGGAGACGGUUAUCGAGGUGCUGCAUGGCUGUCGUCAGCUCGUGUCGUGAGAUGUUGGGUUAAGUCCCGCAACGAGCGCAACCCUUGCCCUUAGUCGCCAUCAGGUUAUGCUGGGCACCCUAAGGGAACUGUCGGCGAAAAGCCGGAGGAAGGUGGGGAUGACGUCAAGUCCUCAUGGCCCUUACGUCUCGGGCUACACACGUGCUACAAUGGUCGGUACAAAGGGUUGCCAACCCGCGAGGGGGAGCUAAUCCCAAAAAGCCGAUCUCAGUUCGGAUUGCAGUCUGCAACUCGACUGCAUGAAGGCGGAAUCGCUAGUAAUCGCAGAUCAGAACGCUGCGGUGAAUACGUUCCCGGGCCUUGUACACACCGCCCGUCACAUCACGAAAGUGGGUUGUACUAGAAAUCGCUGAGCUAACUCGCAAGAGGGGCAGGCGCUUAAGGUAUGAUCCAUGAUUGGGGUGAAGUCGAAACAAGGUAGCUGUAGGAACCUGUGGCUG